AUGUUUGUCACUGUUUUCUAUUUGUUGUCCUUAUUCCUUUUUUUGUCUUCCAGCCUUUCUGCCUGGAAUAAACCCUUCUCUUUACUCAGAGUACCCAGCCACUCUGCCUACCUCAGACUAUCAAUGAUCAGGGAUUCCAUUUGUGAAAUGAUGAAAACCAGGCUGUCCUUUGCCCAAACCAAAGCUGAUCUACCCAUUGGAGCACAGCCCAGAUUUAUGGACAUUAAAGUGAGGCCUCUCCCUAACUCCUGCCCAGGUAGGUGCCAACAGUUGGCCAGAUCGGGGUUGUGGCAGCUUGCAGAUAGCACAGUGAUUACUGCCUCUGGAAUUUGUGGAAGUUGUAUUAUUGUGGCCUCUCUAGAGGCUUAGGAUCCAUUGAGCCUUUUAACCACCAGUCUUUUUUGUGCUCCCCAGUCUCCAGUGCUCCUGUGGGCAUGUAGGACCUAUUAGAUAAUGAGUUCAGGUUCUCAGCUCCAGCUGGUUGGGCUUAAAAACUAGCUGUGACACACAGCAGCCUUGUGGCCUGUAGAAGGUGCAUGAUCUCACUGUGCCUUUAUAUAUAAAUUCAGACAAUGUAAAUCUAGCUGCUCUAACAGGCAUAUUCCAGAAUCUUGGUGGCUCAGCAUAUGAAAAGUACUUUUCUUACCCAGGGACCAUGUAGGUCAGUUUGGAGCUGUGUACUACAUAGUUAUUGGGGAACCAGGUACCUCCCAUCAUCAGCGUAAGACUUGCACAUUGUCCUGGCAUCUUCUAGCUAGCACAGGGGAAAUGAGAGAAGAAAGGAGAAUGUCAUACCCACUUCUAUAUACACUAUUUCUCCUCACAUUCCACUAACAAGACAUCUGGGGCUGGGAAAUGAGGCUGAGCUAUGUGUCCAAGGAAAGGAACAAAUGGUUCUGUGAGUGUAGUCUGCUAUACUCUGUCUCUAAAUGAGUCAUUGAGUUUUUUGAGGAUGUACCAGAUUGUUCAUGAAACUGGUUCACACUGGCCCUGGCCCAUAGUGAGUAAAUGGCUCAGCAAAAGUAAGCUGCUAGCGUUAUUCACAUAAUACUAUUAGUCCUAAUGAAUAAUGACAGUAUCUCACAUUUCCUUCUGAACUACAAGGAAACAAACUAUAUUCUGCAUCCCACCCUUUCUCACCUUCUCCAUACACCCAUUCUCCAGAUGUCAGGCCCUCAGAAGCACUCCCUUGCUCCAUGUCUUCGUGCCCCCCUUGUUUGCUUAAACUUCAAGGUAACAUUUUGCCUUCUAUUCCCCUAAUCUGGGCUGCUGAGGCACUGGGGAUGUCAGGCAUGGUAACUGGUGCCACUGCAGAUCACACCUUUUCAGGGCAAACUGGCUUCUUCUUUUCUGCCUCUUCUGUUACUUUAUCCAUUCUCUGCUCAACAUAAAAAUAUGCCUGGUUACAUCACAUUAGGGGGAAGUAAAUUAAAAAGGCUUAUGGCAAAAAAAAAAAAAAAAAGGCUUAUGGCUCUCCAGUGUCUUCACACUGGUAUCAACACUGCUUUCCCUGUAUAACCAAUCUUGGAAAAGUUGUCUCAUUCUUGCAAGAGAUUUCUACACUCGUGUUCCAUUCUCCCAUUUACUAUUAUUUUCUUGCACUUUUUUAAAAAAGAUUUAUUUUUAUUUAUUUAUGAUAGACCUAGAGAGAGAGAGAGACAGAGGUAAAGACACAGGCAGAGAGAGAAGCAGGCUCCAUGCCAGGAGCCCGACGCAGGACCCGAUCCUAGGACUCCAGGAUCGCGCCCUGGGCCAAAGGCAGGCACGAAACCGCUGAACUACCCAGGGAUCCCCAUUUUCUUGCACUUUUUGAAUGAGCUGUAACUCAUAUUCUCUAUUGUGCAAAAAUCUUAAGAGGUCAGCUUUAUGAAUCUUUGUAUAUGUGUAAACCAAUAUAACCACCACCUAUGUUAAUAUUUAAUAUAUGCCAUAGUGCCCCCUUAUUUGUGGUUUUGCUUUCUGUGAUUUCAGUUACCCAACGUCAACUACAGUCCAGAAGCAGAUGAUCGUCCUUCUGAUGUAUCAUUAGAAGGUCACCAGUAGCCUCAUGCUAUGUCACAGGCCUGUGUCAUUCACUUCACUUCAUUUCAUCAUGUAGGCAUUUUAUCAUCUCACAGCAUCACAAGAAGGAUGAGUGCCAUAUAAUAAAAUAUUUUGAGAGACCACAUUUGCGUAACUUUUAUUACAGUAUUUGUUAUAAUUAUUUUAUUAUUAGUUACUUUUGUUAAUCUUUUAUGUGCCACAUAUAUAAAUUAAACUUUACUAUAGGAGUGUAUAUAUAGGAAAAAAACAUUUUAUAUAUAGGGUUGGUACUACUUGCACUUUCAGGGAUCCACUGGGGGUCUUGGAACAUAUCCCCCACAGAUAAAGGGGACCGCUGUACAAUAUUUCCAGCACCUCGUCAAGGUCUUGUGCCUUCAGUAGCCCCUUCUGCUAGGUAAUCCCUAUUGAGACCAUCAGCAUGAAUUUGCUUUGACUAUCGAUUGUUUCAUCUGUAUUUCUGUCUCC
rnacentral:lncRNA from 1 species